GACGAACCGUGCGAACGUUAUUCGGAAUCACUGGGCUUAAAGCGCGUGUAGGCGGGGUGGCACGUCCGUCGCUGAAAUCCCCCGGCUCAACCCGGGAACGGGCGCGGAUACGACCAUCCUCGAGGGACGUAGGGGGACCUGGAACUUCCGGUGUAGCGGUGAAAUGCGUUGAGAUCGGAAGGAACGCCCGUGGCGAAAGCGAGGUCCUGGACGUCUGCUGACGCUGAGACGCGAAAGCCAGGGGAGCGAACGGG
rnacentral:rRNA from 1 species